rnacentral:rRNA from 1 species
UACAGAGGGUGCGAGCGUUAAUCGGAAUUACUGGGCGUAAAGCGCGCGUAGGCGGCUUUUCAAGUCGAUUGUGAAAUCCCCGGGCUUAACCUGGGAACUGCAGUCGAGACUGUCUGGCUAGAGUAUAGGAGAGGGAAGUGGAAUUUCAGGUGUAGCGGUGAAAUGCGUAGAUAUCAGGAGGAACACCGAUGGCGAAGGCAGCCUCCUGGGCCAACACUGACGCUCAUGCACGAAAGCGUGGGGAGCAAACAGG